GACCGCAAGGUUGAAACUCAAAGGAAUUGACGGGGGCCCGCACAAGCGGUGGAGCAUGUGGUUUAAUUCGAAGCUACGCGAAGAACCUUACCAGGUCUUGACAUCUUCUGCCAAUCUUAGAGAUAAGACGUUCCCUUCGGGGACAGAAUGACAGGUGGUGCAUGGUUGUCGUCAGCUCGUGUCGUGAGAUGUUGGGUUAAGUCCCGCAACGAGCGCAACCCUUAUUAUCAGUUGCCAGCAUUCAGUUGGGCACUCUGGUGAGACUGCCGGUGACAAACCGGAGGAAGGUGGGGAUGACGUCAAAUCAUCAUGCCCCUUAUGACCUGGGCUACACACGUGCUACAAUGGACGGUACAACGAGUUGCGAAGUCGUGAGGCUAAGCUAAUCUCUUAAAGCCGUUCUCAGUUCGGAUUGUAGGCUGCAACUCGCCUACAUGAAGUUGGAAUCGCUAGUAAUCGCGGAUCAGCAUGCCGCGGUGAAUACGUUCCCGGGCCUUGUACACACCGCCCGUCACACCAUGAGAGUUUGUAACACCCAAAGCCGGUGAGAUAACCUUCGGGAGUCAGCCGUCUAAGGUGGGACAGAUGAUUAGGGUGAAGUCGUAACAAGGUAGCCGUAGGAGA
rnacentral:rRNA from 2 species